AGCCACGGCGCAGGCAACAGCUUCCAACCUCAUCUCAUCUGAUCCGGUUUGGUUUAACUGCCUGAUCUAGAGAAAGCAGAAGAGGUUUUCUGCAGCUCAGUAAUUACAGCCUGAACUUCCUUCCCCGAAGCAGCCAGGUUCAAUAUCCCUCCCUGCAGCCACUCGGGAGCACUGCUCCAAGGCAGCCUGAGGGAGCACCGCAGGCUCCGCAGAGCGGAGCAGGAACCGAGCCGAUGUCUGUCACCCUUCAGGAGGGGACACACGUGGCCCCAAGAUGCUGGUGCUCCUUUAACAGAGCCUUGGGAGGAAGGUGAGUCACUGCCCAGCAUGGGAGGAGAGCACAGAACACCACAGAGCUUCUCAGGAAACCCAGUUUCUGAGGAAAUCUUUAAUGCUGAAGCCUCCAGCCCCGGGCUGAAAUAGGGGGAUAAAGAGGAAGGAGCAGCUCACCCCAGAGAACAGGCACCUCGACCUGCCCUGCACCAGCCACCCACAACCCCCCGCGUCCCUUUGGGUGCUGUGUGUCCUGCUUGGUCAAGGGGUAAAGCACAAACACACACAGACCCCCUCCUCGCGUAGGAGCUGCAGGAAGAUCCCUGGUACCUUCGUUUCCUUUGCGCUGGGGACUCGCAAUCACUUCCGACACAGACAACGGGAUUACUCCGAGUUGGAGAAGUCAGUGUGAAGUCACUGAGGAAGCACAGAGCAGUGCAGUUACUGCUGGGCUCCCAGCCCGGCCUUUGAAGUGUCCCCGCCGCUUCCAGAAGUACUUAGACGGGAGAUUAAUGAUCAGCUUUAAAAUGCCCCUUAAACUUAACCAGGAACUUCUCCAUACCAGAAACCAGCCUGUGGCCAAGAAACAGGCUGGAAACCCCAAGCCCCCAGUUGAGCACCCCAACAGCACCCAGGUAAUCCCCCAGCUUCAAAGCCCCCCACAAAGGGUGUGGGGAACCCAGAGAUGGGAAAUGGGGCGAGGGGACAUGGGUGAUCUCCUGUGGUGGAGGAUGGAGCUCAGGGCUGCAGAGGGCUGAACCCCCAUUCCCAGGCCCAGCAAGGGGUGUUCAGACCUAAGACUGGGCAGCACUGGAGGGACCCUGGCACCCCCAAAAGCAGGAGCCACCCUACAAUCCACAGAGGCUGAGGGGGACAGGAACAAUCCCCAACUCAUAAAGGGCCCCAGCUUUUGGAGGGGAAGCCCUUAACAGCCCUAAGACACCCCCCCCCCAGCUGAGAGGAGACACUGGGUUUUAAGGGGUCUCACAUAGGACCCCCAACCUGGGGGGACCUACAGAGUAUUGAGGUGCCCUGAUAUAUAUAGGAUCCCCUGACCAAGAAGGGGAACACAGAGAGCCCCGCACCCAGGUGGGACCCCAAACCAGGAAGCACAUGGAGCACUGAGGGGGCCCCCAACACCCCCACGGGACCCCCAAACCUCGGGGAGGGGGGGCUCAACAAAACCCCUACGGGACCCCCGAGCAGCAGGGAGAAGGCACAGGGCACCCGGGGUGACCCACACCCGUGUCCUCUGGUCCGUGGAGACACCGAGCGUCUCCCCACAGCUACAGCCGCUUCCCAGCCACCCCCGGCAACCACCAGAGCCGCUGCCGCCCGCGGUAGGUCCCGGGUGGGGUCUCCCCCAGAGGCAGCGCCCCCGCGGGUGCGCCCAGCCCGGACCCGGUACCUGCGCUCCGGACCCGGUACCUGCGGACCCGGUCCCCCCGCUCUCGGCGCCACCGCUCCC
rnacentral:lncRNA from 1 species